AUUGAACGCUGGCGGCGUGCCUAACACAUGCAAGUCGAGCGGUAACAGGUGUAGCAAUACAUGCUGACGAGCGGCGAACGGGUGAGUAAUGCUUCGGAAUCUGCCCAAUGGUGGGGAAUAACCAGCCGAAAGGUUGGCUAAUACCGCAUGAGCCCUAAGGGGGAAAGCAGGGGAUCGUAAGACCUUGCGCCGAUGGAUGAGCCGAAGUCGGAUUAGCUAGUUGGCAGGGUAACGGCCUACCAAGGCGACGAUCCGUAGCUGGUCUGAGAGGACGACCAGCCACACUGGGACUGAGACACGGCCCAGACUCCUACGGGAGGCAGCAGUGGGGAAUAUUGGACAAUGGGGGAAACCCUGAUCCAGCGACGCCGCGUGUGUGAAGAAGGCCUGCGGGUUGUAAAGCACUUUUAGUGGGGAUGAAAAGCUCAGGGUUAAUACCUUUGGGUCUUGACCUAACCCACAGAAAAAGCACCGGCUAACUCUGUGCCAGCAGCCGCGGU
rnacentral:rRNA from 1 species